UACGGAGGAUCCAAGCGUUAUCCGGAUUUAUUGGGUUUAAAGGGUGCGUAGGUGGUUUUUAAGUCAGGGGUGAAAGACGGCAGCUUAACUGUCGCAGUGCCUUUGAUACUGAAGAACUUGAAUCACUAGAGGUAGGCGGAAUGUGACAAGUAGCGGUGAAAUGCAUAGAUAUGAUCACAGAACACCAAUUGCGAAGGCAGCUUACUAUGGUGGUGUUGACACUGGAGGCACGAAAGCGUGGGGAUCAAACAGG
rnacentral:rRNA from 1 species